rnacentral:rRNA from 1 species
GACGAACGCUGGCGGCGUGCUUAACACAUGCAAGUCGAACGAAGUGGCGAACGGGUGAGUAACGCGUAAUCAACCUGCCCUUCAGGGGGGGACAACAGUAGGAAACGACUGCUAAUACCGCAUAAUGAAGGAGGGGAUUGCGUUUGAUUUGCUAGUUGGGGGGGUAACGGCCCACCAAGGCGAUGAUCAGUAGCCGGUCCGGGAGGAUGGACGGCCACAUUGGGACUGAGACACGGCCCAGACUCCUACGGGAGGCAGCAGGGGGGAAUCUUCCGCAAUGGACGAAAGUCUGACGGAGCAACGCCGCGGGAGGGAUGAUGGGCUUCGGGUUGUAAAGCUCUGUUAAGCGGGACGCGGUACCGGAAUAGAAAGCCACGGCUAACUACGUGCCAGCAGCCGCGGUAAUAC